rnacentral:rRNA from 1 species
UACGGAGGUUGCAAGCGUUAUCCGGAAUGAUUGGGCGUAAAGCGUCCGCAGGUGGCAGUUCAAGUCUGCUGUCAAAGACCGGGGCUUAACUUCGGAAAGGCAGUGGAAACUGAACAGCUAGAGUAUGGUAGGGGCAGAGGGAAUUCCUGGUGUAGCGGUGAAAUGCGUAGAGAUCAGGAAGAACACCAGUGGCGAAGGCGCUCUGCUAGGCCGUAACUGACACUGAGGGACGAAAGCUAGGGGAGCGAAUGGG